AGCGAACGCUGGCGGUAGGCCUAACACAUGCAAGUCGAACGGCAGCACAGUAAGAGCUUGCUCUUACGGGUGGCGAGUGGCGGACGGGUGAGGUAUACAUCGGAAUCUACUUUUUCGUGGGGGAUAACGUAGGGAAACUUACGCUAAUACCGCAUACGACCUACGGUUGAAAGCAGGGGAUCUUCGGACCUUGCGCGAUUGAAUGAGCCGAUGUCGGAUUAGCUAGUUGGCGGGGUAAAGGCCCACCAAGGCGACGAUCCGUAGCUGGUCUGAGAGGAUGAUCAGACACACUGGAAGUGAGACAGGGUCAAGACGCCUGCGGGAGGCAGCAGUGGGGAAUAUUGGGCAAUGGGCGCAAGCCUGAUCCAGCCAGACCGCGUGGGUGAAGAAGGCGUUCGGGUUGUAAAGCCCUUUUGUUGGGAAAGAAAAGCAGCAGGUUAAUACCCCGCGGUUCUGAUGGUACCGAGAGAAUAAGCACCGGCUAACUUCGUG
rnacentral:rRNA from 1 species